rnacentral:sRNA from 1 species
AGCAUAUACAGAAACAGGAUAGUAAAUUACAUAUGUACUGUACGUGGGCAAUAGUAGGUUGUUAGGCCUGACGAGCGAGGUUUUCCUUGCGGUCCAGCUCAGAUGGGCCAGCUUUAUUUAUACUAAGAGAUACUGUAUAGCGACCUCCAGGUGGACAUUUCGGCUAUAUCGAAAUUAGUCGGUGGGGAAGGGGGGGAAAGGGUCGGAGUGCGCCUGCUUUUGGCGGAAUAUUCGAAGAUUGCAUGCAACCUUUUAUCCCAUCCUCUCGCCGGUCUGCUGUGAAACAUCUAUCCCGAAAUAUUGCAGGCUGUGAAGGAAGAAGAACCCAUCCCCUGCUAUACUUCAUUGUUCGGCGC